ensembl:processed_transcript
GAUAAACAGCGACAAAGACAGUUGGGAUAAUUUACACGCCACUUACAGCACUAGUAUACAUAUAAAUCUGGGCAAAUUCCUGCACUGUUGCUUUUGCAAAGAUGACAAACACAAGCGCAAAUGCCAUUAUCAUCGAUCUGCGAGCUUUUAUUACGAACUUCCUGAAGCCAACGAUUCACCAGGCUCCCGGGAAAAAUACCCUGAGUGACAAGAGUGGCUUUUAACCUCAGACCCCGAGCUGGAGAAGAAAAGAGAAGGCAACAUCCACAUCAGCCCAGAGCCCUGGUGCAGCUAGAACAUGGACACAAGAGGCAGUGUGUGGAUGGAGACAGCAGACAGACAGUGAACUGGGUCCUUCAUCAGGUUGAAGCUGUCUACACCAGAAGCAUCCACAUUUCUGAGCCAUCACUCACAUGAACCGGUCAACUGUGAGCUUGAGGUUAGAUGACACUUCUACAAAACCUUUGAUCACAACAAAAUUUAAACAUUCAAUUAAUAACAAAUGUCUCUUGUGGAUCAAAUUAGCAUAUUAUAAUGAUUUCUGAAGGAUCAUGUGUCAGUCAAAACUGGAGCAAUGAUGCUAAAAGUUAAGGAUGCAUGAGUAUUCGUCCAUCAAAAAUUAUUGACUGAAAAAACAGCCUACUCCAACAAAAGACCAAAAGGACAUUUCAAUGAAGUUUACUUGUUCCUGGUGCUUGCCAUGCGGUACUGACAUGACAACGCUGGUAAAAUGACACCUCUCAACUCGACUACUGAAUCUAUAAAAUUUUACUGUCAAAAAAUGUGUUUUUUUUAUUGGCUUGCUUUUAAAAAUCUGUAUAAUUUACAUGAUUGGGUUCAAUGUUAAAGUCAUACACAUUUACUAUAUAAUUUAAUAAACUAAUAAAUAUUUAUUACAAGG